CCUACGGGCGGCAGCAGUCGGGGAUAUUGGACAAUGGGGGGAACCCUGAUCCAGCGACGCCGCGUGAGUGAAGAAGUAUUUCGGUAUGUAAAGCUCUGUCCGCAGGGAAGAAAGUAAUGACGGUACCUGACCAAGAAGCCCCGGCUAACUACGGGCCAGCAGCCGCGGUAAUACUGAGGGGGCAAGCGUUAUUCGGAAUUACUGGGGGGAAAGGGAGCGUAGACGGUUGAGUAAGUCUGGAGUGAAAGGCCGGGGCGCAACCCCGGGACGGCUCUGGAAACUAUUGCACUUGAGGGAAGGAGAGGUAAGCGGAAUUCCGAGUGUAGCAGUGAAAUGCGUAGAUAUUAGGAGGAACACUAGUGGCGAAGGCGGGUUACUGGACUGUAACUGACGUUGAGGCACGAAAGCGUGGGGAGCAAACAGGAUUAGAUACCCUAGUAGUC
rnacentral:rRNA from 1 species